CAGCCGCCGCGGUAAUACCAGCAGCCCAAGUGGUGGUCGCGAUUAUUGGGCCUAAAGCGCUCGUAGCCGGGCCGGUAAGUCCCUUGUGAAAUUGGACGGCCUAACCGUUCGGCGUGCAAGGGAUACUGUCGGUCUUGAGGCCGGGAGACGUCCGAGGUACUCCGGGGGUAGCGGUGAAAUGUUCUGAUCCUCGGGGGACCACCGGUGGCGAAGGCGUUCGACGAGAACGGGCCUGACGGUGAGGGGCGAAGGCUAGGGGAGCAGACGGGAUUAGAUACCCGCGUAGUCCCUGUCUCUUAUA
rnacentral:rRNA from 1 species